CACUCUAAGCGGUGAAUCACUCGGCUCAUGGAUCGAUGAAGAACGCAGCAAACUGUGCGUCAUCGUGUGAACUGCAGGACACAUGAACAGCCACAUUUUGAACGCAUGUCGCAGUCCAUGGUGUAAGGUACUUUAAUUAUAUUUUGAAGUGCUGCUUGGACUACAUAUGGUUGAGGGUUG
rfam:Glossina morsitans morsitans, isolate Yale, WGS project CCAG01000000 data, contig: ctg10023980